CACAAAUUAAAAUAUAAAGGCUUCGGCUGGAUUAUUUUAUUACCCUUGUCUUUUGCGCACUUGUUGUUUCCUGGGCGGGUUCGCCCGCCACCAGGACCACAUGAUAAACCUUUUUUAUGCAGUUGCAAUCAGCGUCAGUACAACAAAUGUAAGUCAUUUA
rnacentral:misc_RNA from 1 species